UACGUAGGGUGCGAGCGUUGCCCGGAUUCAUUGGGCGUAAAGCGCGCGCAGGCGGCUCCGCACGUCCCGCGUGAAAUCGCCCGGCUCAACCGGGCGGGGUCGCGGGCGACGGCGGGGCUCGAGCGAGGGGAGGGGGGCAGUGGAAUUCCCGGUGUAGUGGUGGAAUGCGUAGAUAUCGGGGAAGAACACCGGUGGCGAAGGCGGCCCGCUGGGCAGGAAGGCCUCGUAAGGGGCCGGCUGACGCUGAGACGCGACAGCGUGGGGAGCAAACAGG
rnacentral:rRNA from 1 species